rnacentral:rRNA from 1 species
AUUGAACGCUGGCGGCAGGCCUAACACAUGCAAGUCGAACGAGUGGCGGCCGGGUGAGUAAUGUCUGGGAAACUGCCUGACGGAGGGGGAUAACUACUGGAACCGGUAGCUAAUACCGCAUACCAUCAGUUGUGCCCAGAUGGGAUUAGCUAGUUGGUGUGGUAACGGCUCAGCAAGGCGACGAUCCCUAGCUGGUCUGAGAGGAGGACCAGCCACACUGGAACUGAGAUAAGGUCCAGCAUCGUACGGGAGGCACCAGUGGGAAAUAUUGCACAAGGGGCACAAGCCUAAUGCAGCCAUGCCGCGUGUAGGAAAAAGGCCUUCGGGUGGUAAAGUAUGUUGAGUGGGGAGGCGGUACCCGCAGAAGAAGCUCCGGCUAACUCCGUGCCAGCCGCCGCGGUAAUAC